rnacentral:rRNA from 1 species
CAGUAUUUCAGGUACUGGGUGAGCCUGGGGUGCCCGCGAGGGAGCCCCAGCACAGGUGCUGCAUGGCCGUCGUCAGCUCGUGUCGUGAGAUGUUGGGUUAAGUCCCGCAACGAGCGCAACCCCUGCCCUUAGUUGCCAGCGGGUUGGGCCGGGCACUCUAAGGGGACUGCCUGCGAAAGCAGGAGGAAGGCGGGGACGACGUCUGGUCAUCAUGGCCCUUACGGCCUGGGCGACACACGUGCUACAAUGCCCACUACAGAGCGAGGCGACCCAGUGAUGGGGAGCGAAUCGCAAAAAGGUGGGCGUAGUUCGGAUUGGGGUCUGCAACCCGACCCCAUGAAGCCGGAAUCGCUAGUAAUCGCGGAUCAGCCAUGCCGCGGUGAAUACGUUCCCGGGCCUUGUACACACCG